rnacentral:rRNA from 1 species
CCCUUAGAUGUUCUGGGCCGCACGCGCGCUGCACUGAUGCAUUCAACGAGUCUAAAACCUGGUCUGAUAGGGCUGGGUAAUCUUUUGAAUGUGCAUCGUGAUUGGGAUAGAUGAUUGCAAUUCUUCAUCUUCAACGAGGAAUGCCUAGUAAACGCAAGUCAUCAGCUUGCAUUGAUUACGUCCCUGCCCUUUGUACACACCGCCCGUCGCUCCUACCGAUUGAAUGUUCCGAUGAAUACCAUGGACUGAGAGUAUGAAUGGGUUCGCCUAUUUCUGCUUCUCGGGAAGUGGAGUAAAUCUUAACAUUUAGAGGAAGGAGAAGUCGUAACA